rnacentral:rRNA from 1 species
CUGAUGGCGGCCGGCGUACGGGUGAGUAACGCGUAUCCAACCUGCCCUUUACUAUGGGACAGCCCGUCGAAAGGCGGAUUAAUACCGUAUGUUGUCAUGUUGAUGCAUAUUUUCAUGACCAAAGGCUUCGGCCGGUAAAGGAUGGGGAUGCGUCUGAUUAGCUUGCCGGCGGGGUAACGGCCCACCGGGGCGACGAUCAGUAGGGGUUCUGAGAGGAAGGUCCCCCACAUUGGAACUGAGACACGGUCCAAACUCCUACGGGAGGCAGCAG